rnacentral:lncRNA from 1 species
GAAUUUUGGGAAGUUCCGUUGGGGAAGAUGGCGGCGGCCUCGAGCACCCUUCUCUUCUUGCCGCCGGGGACUUCAGAUUGAUCCUUCCCGGGAAGAGUAGGGACUGCUGGUGCCCUGCGUCCCGGGAUCCCGAGCCAACUUGUUUCCUCCGUUAGUGGUGGGGAAGGGCUUAUCCUUUUGUGGCGGAUCUAGCUUCUCCUCGCCUUCAGGAUGAAAGCUCAGGGGGAAACCGAGGAGUCAGAAAAGCUGAGUAAGAUGAGUUCUCUCCUGGAACGGCUCCAUGCAAAAUUUAACCAAAAUAGACCCUGGAGUGAAACCAUUAAGCUUGUGCGUCAAGUCAUGUUUUGCAGAUUCAGAAACCUAAUUUUAUUGGUACAUCAAGAUUUUAUAGAGUUUUCAUGGCUGGGCGUGGUGGUUCACAUCUGUAAUCCCAGCACUUUGGGAGGCUGAGGCGGGUCGAUCACCUGAGGUCAGGAGUUCGAGACCAGGCUGACCAACAAGGAGAAGAGGGUUGUGAUGAGUUCUGGAGGGCAUCAACAUUUGGUCAGCUGUUUGGAGACAUUGCAGAAGGCUCUCAAAG